rnacentral:sRNA from 2 species
GCCGUACCCUGUUAGGUGAGGCUCCUGUAUGGACAAAUGCUACUGCUCAGAAACAUCGAGAGAUGCCAACGAGUCAACUGGAACUGCUGAUGAAGGCUUUUCCUAAUGCAGCUGAAAGAUCAAUUUCUACGUCAUACAGUGCUAAAGCUCAACGUCGGGACAUCUC